GUGCACCCCAUUCAUACAGAAUCAUCGAGAUAUCUGGUAGAUUGGGGGUUGAAAAUCAGCGAGAGGGAUCGGUGUACGGUAGCACCGUGGUACCGUGCGGUAUGACAAUCAGCGACACAGGUCGGAGAUGAUCGCCCCGUAUCUUGGGGUAAGCUGAUCAUAUAUAGGUAAUCAGGCGCGCUUUUCGUGACCCUACGGAUAGCUGGAGGUCACACAACAGUCAACAUGGCGGCUGGUUCGGAGGGUCCAGGACCUGGAAACUCUGUUCCAACUUUCAAGCAUAUUUAUUCCACGGAAACCAGUUCAACAGUUCAUUGAUGUCUGGAAAUGUGAACUGGCAGAAGUAGGGAAGCUGAUUCCACAGCAGAAGAUGAAGCUCAUCAUGCAUCACUGCUGUCCGUUUGUAUAGAGUCAACAUCCUUGGUCUGACUGAAGACUACAUGGCAUAUAGAAAAAUAUGACAUUGUGAUUGUCAGGUAGAUUGGUUGAAAAUACGGUGUCCUGAUGAAUUGUAGAAUGUUUCCGAAUAAGUCUCCUGACUAAAGCAUAUACUUGUCGUGAAUGUACAAUGUACAUGUAUUUUGUAUUUAUAUGUAGCACAAUAAGUCUGCUAAUACUAAGUGUUAUGUGAGUUUGCUUCUCCGAUUGGAGUACCGCAUAUACCUGUAUUUUUCGACAGUUUGAUAUGCAAUUAAAAAAAAAAACUGAUCAAAACUAAACUACACCUGAUAACUCUAUUGUUUCAAAUUUCUUUUGUGUGCAGUGUGUCCUAAUUAUAGGUUCAUAUUUCGAUGAUGCCUGAAAAAUAUACAUCCUUGAAUCUGUACAUCUGCAAUCACUGUAUAUAUGUAAAAGUUUGGGACCGAAUCUGUAAGCAGCUUGACCUACAUUUGUGUAUAUAGCUACAGUACAAUGUGAACUAGGCAGGAUUGUCUUGAGGAAGGUGACAGACGUUUAGACGUUUACCGAAAUGUUGGUGUGAAAUAAAGAAAGAGUUGACUAAUGUUAAUAAAAGAGCCUGUCAUUCAUGCA